CCUACGGGUGACAGCAGUGAGGAAUAUUGGUCAAUGGGCGCGAGCCUGAACCAGCCAAGUCGCGUGAGGGAGGACGGCCCUACGGGUUGUAAACCUCUUUUGCCGGGGAGCAACGGGCGUCACGUGUGGCGCCACUGAGAGUACCCGGAGAAAAAGCAUCGGCAAACUCCGUGCCAGCAGCCGCGGUAAUACGGAGGAUGCGAGCGUUACCCGGAUUUAUUGGGUUUAAGGGGUGCGUAGGCGGAUCGUUAAGUCGGUGGUAAAAUUGAGGGGCUCAACCCCUUACCGCCAUUGAAACUGGCGCUCUUGAGUGGAAGAGAAGUAGGCGGAAUGCGUGGUGUAGCGGUGAAAUGCAUAGAUAUCACGCAGAACCCCGAUUGCGAAGGCAGCAUGCCGGCUUCCGACUGACGCUGAAGCACGAAAGCGUGGGGAUCGAACAGGAUUAGAUACCCGGGUAGUC
rnacentral:rRNA from 1 species